CUUCCGAUCAUGUGUCCCAAGUAGCGCGGGCCUCGUGGAAUCCCGUGUGAAUCGGCCCCGACCGUGGGGUAAGUCUAAGCAUACCUGUCUGACCGAUAGCGUACCAGUACCGUGAGGGAAAGGUGAAAAGCACCCCGGGAGGGGAGUGAAAGAGUUCCUGAAACCGUGCGCCUACAAUCCGUCGGAGCCUCCUUGUGGGGUGACGGCGUGCCUAUCGAAAAAUGAGUCUGCGAGUCAGUGGUGCGUGGCGAGGCUAACCCGUGGUGGGGGAGCCGUAGCGAAGGCGAGUCUCAAAAGGCGUUUUGAGUCGCGCGCCCUGGACCCGAAGCGGGAUGAUCUAGCCCUGGGCAGGUUGAAGCGCGGGUAAGACCGCGUGGAGGACCGAACCCACCUGGGUUGAAAACCGGGGGGAUGACCUGGGGCUAGGGGUGAAAGGCCAAUCAAAUUCCGUGAUAGCUGGUUCUCUCCGAAAUGCAUUUAGGUGCAGCGUCGGUUGAUUGCAUCGCGGGGGUAGAGCUACUGGAUGCUUGCGGGCCCGUGUCGGGUACCAAUAGCAGCCAAACUCCGAAUACCGUGGAUGUGUAUUCCGGCAGUGAGUCGGCGGGGGAUAAGCUCCGUCGUCGAGAGGGAGACAGCCCAGAUCGUCGUCUAAGGUCCCGAAGCGUGUGCUAAGUGGGAAAGGAUGUGGAGUCGCAUAGACAGCCAGGAGGUUGGCUCAGAAGCAGCCAUCCUUGAAAGAGUGCGUAACAGCUCACUGGUCUAGUGGUUCCGCGCCGACAAUGUAGCGGGGCUCAAGCACACCACCGAAGACGCGGCAGCGGCCUUUGCGGCCGUUGGGUAGGAGAGCGUCCCGCGUGGGGCGAAGCGGCCGGGGAACCGUGCCGUGGACCGCGCGGGAGUGAGAAUGCAGACAUGAGUAGCGAGAGACGGGUGAGGAUCCCGUCCGCUGGAUGACCAAGGGUUCCGGGGCCACGUUCGUCGUCCCCGGGUGAGUCGGGUCCUAAGGCGAGGCCGACAGGCGUAGUCGAAUGGAUGAACGGGUGGAUAUUCCCGUACCGGCGGCGUACCGUAAGAGCCGAACGGAUGAGUACUAACCUCCGGUCGCGUGGCGUCGUUCCCUUCGGGGUUCGGGGUCCGCGGUCGUUGGGAGCGUAGUCCUGGUAGGCUAGCGCACAGGGGUGACACGGAAUGGGAGCCGGCCGCGGAGGUGGUUUUCCGUGGUCAAGCACGCAGCCCGUCCCAUAGGCAAAUCCGUGGGACGCAUAGGGUGAGGUGUGAUGAUGGGCGUCCUUUGGACGCGAUAUCCGGUGGUCCAGGCCGUCGAGAAAAGCCUCGGCGCGAGGGGCGUCGCCGCCCGUACCCCAAACCGACACUGGUGGUCAGGUAGAGAAUACCAAGGCGAUCGAGCGAAUCCUGGUCAAGGAACUCGGCAAAUUGCUCCCGUGCCUUCGGUAUAAGGGAGACCCCCGGGCGUGAAGAGGCUUGCCCUCGGAGCGUUGGGGGGUGGCACAGACCAGGGGGUAGCGACUGUUUACCAAAAACACAGGUGCAUGCGAAGGCGCAAGCCGCUGUAUAUGCACUGACGCCUGCCCGGUGCCGGAAGGUUAAGAGGAUCCGUCAGCCCCUUUUGGGGUGAAGCGGUGAAUUCAAGCCCCGGUAAACGGCGGUGGUAACUAUAACCAUCCUAAGGUAGCGAAAUUCCUUGUCGGGUAAGUUCCGACCU
rnacentral:rRNA from 1 species